rnacentral:rRNA from 1 species
GGUUAAGCGACUAAGCGUACACGGUGGAUGCCCUGGCAGUCAGAGGCGAUGAAGGGCGUGCUAAUCUGCGAUAAGCGCCGGUAAGGUGAUAUG